rnacentral:rRNA from 1 species
AGCGAACGCUGGCGGCAGGCCUAACACAUGCAAGUCGAACGGACCCUUCGGGGUUAGUGGCGGACGGGUGAGUAACACGUGGGAACGUGCCUUUAGGUUCGGAAUAUCUCCUGGAAACGGGUGGUAAUGCCGAAUGUGCCCUUCGGGGGAAAGAUUUAUCGCCUUUAGAGCGGCCCGCGUCUGAUUAGCUAGUUGGUGAGGUAACGGCGCACCAAGGCGACGAUCAGUAGCUGGUCUGAGAGGAUGACCAGCCACACUGGGACUGAGACACGGCCCAGACUCCUACGGGAGGCAGCAGUGGGGAAUCUUGCGCAAUGGGCGAAAGCCUGACGCAGCCAUGCCGCGUGAAUGAUGAAGGUCUUAGGAUUGUAAAAUUCUUUAACCGGGGACGAUAAUGACGGUACCCGGAGAAGAAGCCCCGGCUAACUUCGUG